UCGAGAAUCUUUCGCAAUGCCCGCAAGGGUGACGAAGCGACGCCGCGUGCGGGAAGAAGGCCUUCGGGUUGUAAACCGCUGUCGGGAGUUAGGAAGUGCAAGGAUGUUAAUAGCGUUCUUGCUUGACUAAGGCUCCGGAGGAAGCCACGGCUAACUCUGUGCCAGCAGCCGCGGUAAUACAGAGGCGGCAAGCGUUGUUCGGAAUUAUUGGGCGUAAAGAGCACGUAGGCGGCUGUGUAAGUCGGUUGUGAAAGCCUUCCGCUUAACGGAAGAACGGCAUCCGAUACUGCAUAGCUUGAGUGCGGGAGGGGAGAGUGGAACUUCUGGUGGAGCGGUGAAAUGCGUAGAUAUCAGAAGGAACACCGGCGGCGAAGGCGACUCUCUGGUCCGUAACUGACGCUGAGUGUGCGAAAGCUAGGGGAGCAAACGGGAUUAGAUACCCCGGUAGUCCUAGCCGUAAACGAUGGGCACUAAGUAGAGGGGUUUUGAUUAUCUCUCUGCCGGACUAACGCAUUAAGUGCCCCGCCUGGGGAGUACGGCCGCAAGGCUA
rnacentral:rRNA from 1 species